GAACAUAUUUGCGGUCCGCCUGCCCUGGGGCCGCUUUCAGCUGUGGCUGCAACCAGCAAGACAGGAAAAAUAUUUCCGUAUUCUUGCUUUCCCGGCCACAAGAGGGCAGAGUGGCUGUGUGCCUCUGAGCAGACGAGAGCAGCCACUCCCCCUUCCCUCCAGCUCGCAGUGUCAGAGGAGUGUGUGACCUGCUUCAGCAGAGCUGAGUAGGAG